rnacentral:rRNA from 1 species
AGAGUUUGAUCCUGGCUCAGGAUGAACGCUGGCAGCGUGCUUAACACAUGCAAGUCGAACGAACCUUCGGGUUAGUGGCGGACGGGUGAGUAACGCGUGAGAAUCUGCCCUCAGGAGGGGGAUAACGGCUGGAAACGGCCGCUAAUACCCCAUAUGCCGCGAGGUGAAAUGAAUUUCGCCUGAGGAUGAGCUCGCGUCUGAUUAGCUAGUUGGUGGGGUAAAGGCCUACCAAGGCAUCGAUCAGUAGCUGGUCUGAGAGGAUGAUCAGCCACACUGGGACUGAGACACGGCCCAGACUCCUACGGGAGGCAGCAGUGGGGAAUUUUCCGCAAUGGGCGAAAGCCUGACAGAGCAACGUCGCGUGAGGGAUGAAGGCCUCUGGGCUGUAAACCUCUUUUAUCAAGGAAGAAGAUCUGACGGUACUUGAUGAAUAAGCCACGGCUAAUUCCGUGCCAGCAGCCGCGGUAAUACGGGAGUGGCAAGCGUUAUCCGGAAUUAUUGGGCGUAAAGCGUCCGCAGGCGGUCUUGUAAGUCUGUCGUUAAAGCGUGGAGCUUAACUCCAUUUGAGCGAUGGAAACUGCAAGACUAGAGUGUGGUAGGGGCAGAGGGAAUUCCCGGUGUAGCGGUGAAACGCGUAGAUAUCGGGAAGAACACCAGUGGCGAAGGCGCUCUGCUGGGCCAUAACUGACGCUCAUGGACGAAAGCCAGGGGAGCGAAAGGGAUUAGAUACCCCUGUAGUCCUGGCCGUAAACGAUGAACACUAGGUGUCGGGGGAAUCGACCCCCUCGGUGUCGUAGCCA